CGAAGAANAGCAAUACUUAGUGGCAGACGGGUGAGUAACAUGUGGGUAUCUGCCCUUUGGCCUGGAAUAACACGAGGAAACUUGUGCUAAUACCGGAUAAGUCUUUACGGAGAAAGCUUUAUGCACCAUUGGAUGAGCCCGCACUUGAUUAGUUAGUUGGUAGGGUAAUGGCCUACCAAGACUGUGAUCAAUAGCUGAUUUGAGAGGAUGAUCAGCCACAUUGGGACUGAGACACGGCCCAAACUCCUACGGAAGGCAGCAGUGGGGAAUCUUGCACAAUGGAGGAAACUCUGAUGCAGCGAUGCCGCGUGAGUGAAGAAGGCCCUUGGGUUGUAAAGCUCUUUCGUCGGGGAAGAAAAUGACUGUACCCGAAUAAGAAGGUCCGGCUAACUUCGUGCCAGCAGCCGCGGUAAUACGAAGGGACCUAGCGUAGUUCGGAAUUACUGGGCUUAAAGAGUUCGUAGGUGGUUGAAAAAGUUGGUGGUGAAAUCCCAGAGCUUAACUCUGAAACUGCCAUCAAAACUUUUCAGCUAGAGUAUGAUAGAGGAAAGCAGAAUUUCUAGUGUAGAGGUGAAAUUCGUAGAUAUUAGAAAGAAUACCAAUUGCGAAGGCAGCUUUCUGGAUCAUUACUGAAACUGAGGAACGAAAGCAUGGGUAGCGAAGAGGAUUAGAUACCCUCGUAGUCCAUGCCGUAAACGAUGUGUGUUAGACGUUGGAAAUUUAUUUUCAGUGUCGCAGCGAAAGCGAUAAACACACCGCCUGGGGAGUACGACCGCAAGGUUAAAACUCAAAUGAAUUGACGGGGACCCGCACAAGUAGUGGAGCA
rnacentral:rRNA from 1 species